rnacentral:rRNA from 1 species
UACAGAGGUGGCAAGCGUUGUUCGGAAUUACUGGGCGUAAAGGGCGCGUAGGCGGUCUUAUAAGUCUCGUGUGAAAUCCCUCGGCUUAACUGAGGAACUGCACGGGAUACUGCAAGACUUGAGAUCGGGAGAGGGAAGCGGAAUUCCGGGUGUAGCGGUGAAAUGCGUAGAUAUCCGGAGGAACACCGGUGGCGAAGGCGGCUUCCUGGACCGACACUGACGCUGAGGCGCGAAAGCUAGGCGAGCAAACGGG